rnacentral:rRNA from 1 species
ACAUGCAAGUCGAACGCAGUAGCAAUACUGAGUGGCAAACGGGUGAGUAUAAUGUGGGAAUCUGCCUUUUGGUUUGGAAUAACACGGGGAAACUUGUGCUAAUACCGAAUAAGCCCUUACGGGGAAAGUUUUAACGCCGAAAGAUGAGCCCGCACUUGAUUAGCUAGUUGGUAAGGUAAAGGCUUACCAAGGCUACGAUCAAUAGCUGUUCUUAGAGGAAGACCAGCCACAUUGGGACUGAGACACGGCCCAGACUCCUACGGGAGGCAGCAGUGGGGAAUCUUGCACAAUGGGGGAAACCCUGAUGCAGCGAUGCCGCGUGAGUGAAGAAGGCCCUUGGGUUGUAAAACUCUUUCGUCGGGGAAGAAAAUGACUGUACCCGAAUAAGAAGGUCCGGCUAACUUCGUGCCAGCAGCCGCGGUAAUACGAAGGGACCUAGCGUAGUUCGGAAUUACUGGGCUUAAAGAGCUCGUAGGUGGUUAAAAAAGUUGAUGGUGAAAUCCCAAGGCUCAACCUUGGAACUGCCAUCAAAACUUUUUAGCUAGAGUGUGAUAGAGGUAAGUGGAAUUUCUAGUGUAGAGGUGAAAUUCGUAGAUAUUAGAAAGAACACCAAAUGCGAAGGCAACUUACUGGGUCACUACUGACACUGAGGAGCGAAAGCAUGGGUAGCGAAGAGGAUUAGAUACCCUCGUAGUCCAUGCCGUAAACGAUGUGUGCUAGACGUUGGAAAUAUAUUUUUCAGUGUCGCAGCGAAAGCAUUAAGCACACCGCC